GGGGUUGUGGCUCAGCGGUAGAGCGCUCAACUAUCAUUUGCGAGGCCUUGGGUUCGAUCCCAGAACCACA
rnacentral:tRNA from 1 species